GCAGCGAGAUGAGCUCCAUCCAGUCAAAGGGGUUGGCGGCGUUGUACAUCUUCUUGCACCCGAGAGCCAUGAGCAGGCGGUCUGCGACGAACUCGAUGUACUGGCUCAUUAGCGCGCCGUUCAUGCCGACGAGCGCGACGGGGAGCGCGUCGCAGACAAACUCUCGCUCGAUGUCGACGGCGUCGGCGACGAUCUCGCGGACGCGGGGCUCGUCGAGCUUGCUGCGGAGGAGGUCGUAGAGGAGGCACGCGAAGUCGCAGUGCAGGCCCUCGUCGCGGGAGAUGAGCUCGUUGGAGAAG
rnacentral:lncRNA from 1 species